rnacentral:misc_RNA from 1 species
UUUUAGCCCGGAACGCAGCGGAAAGCCCGGAGUUUUGAAGGCUUGGUUUUUGAAAAUUGACGUGGCGACCAAAGGAAGCCGGCGUGAAUUUAUAAAAAACCGCCUGAAAAGCGAGGACUUGCAGCGGAGAGCCGGAAUUGCU